rnacentral:rRNA from 1 species
CGAGUUUUGAUCAUGGCUCAGAAUGAACGUUGGCGGCGUGGAUUAGGCAUGCAAGUCGAGCGAGAAUUUGCGAUUGGAAGCUUCGGCCGAAGAAAGUGAAGGAAAGCGGCAAACGGCGUAGUAAGGCGUAGGUACGUACCCUCGGGUCGGGAAUAGCCAUGGGAAACUGUGGGUAAUGCCCGAUAAUCUCUGCGGAGCAAAGGUGUGAUUCCGCCGGAGGAGCGGCUUACGUGAUAUUAGCUAGUUGGUGGGGUAAUGGCCUACCAAGGCAACGAUGUCUAGGGGGUGUGAGAGCAUGGCCCCCACGACCGGAACUGAGACACUGUCCGGACACCUACGGGUGGCUGCAGUCGAGAAUCUUCCGCAAUGGGCGAAAGCCUGACGGAGCGACGCCGCGUGGUGGAUGAAGGCCCUUGGGUUGUAAACACCUGUCAGGGGGGAUGAAAGCGCAAGCUUGACAGAGCCCCAGAGGAAGCACGGGCUAAGUUCGUG